rnacentral:lncRNA from 10 species
CCUGUAUCCUUCAGGAUUAGCCCUUCAUAUUCUAAUGACUGUGGUUGCCUUAAAUUAUGACUUCUGGUACUUUAGGCCAGAAAGGCUGUGUAUUUUCUUUCUGAAUUUCCGCCAGCAAUUAGGGAGCUAACUAUAUCUUGCCCUCUAGCUCAAAAAGCCACAAGAAUGAGUAAUUCAUUCUACCUACUCUCUUUUUCUGGAGUUAGACUCUCCAUCAGAAGAUGUCCCUGAUUUUGCACAUACUUCAGAGACCCUCGUGAAUUUUGGUGUUGUGCACUAUUUAGGUGCAUGUCACCUUUCAAAGAUGUAACACUCACUGGGAGGUUCUGAGGCCUCAUUCCUGAAGUCAGCAAGACCAUGAACCCAUGGGAGGAGCAGACAAUUCUGGACGCAGCACUUUUAAGAGCUGUAACACUCACUGCCAGGUCCGCGGCUUCAUUCUUUAAGUCAACGAGACCAAGAACCCAGCAGAAGGAAUAAAUUCUAGACACAGCGGGAUUUCCGUUUGGUGGUUUAAAAUUACAUCAGAUUCGGACGUCCUAGGAGCUAGUGAGGAAGGUAUUACCAAAUAGACAUUGAGUGAGACAAACUAUAUUUACAAGACAGAUUGUCUAGUGUUCGGAAUUCUUGUCCUAUAUUUUCUCUCUUCUAUCAAUUAUUUUAUUCAUAAAAAUGAUAUUUCAUGUAUUUAUAUUGAGGCUAUGCUAUUUGAUACAUAACAGUUUAGAAUUACACAUGGAAAGAUUGCUCUUACUCAUCUCUUUGGAAUGUAAAUGUGGCUAUCUGAAUUUUUUUUGGCCCACUAAUAUAAACAGCAGUGAUGGUCAUCCCUUCAGGUCAGAAGUUCUGAAAGUAUAUGAUUUACCAUGUUCUUUUUCCAACUAUGUGUUGACAGUAGAAGCAAUUUUUGAGAUGAUUCCUACUUCAACCUGGCUGUGACUAUAAUGGUCCACACUCUCUAUUUAACUAAUGGGACAUAAAGCAUAAGUGAGAAUUUUUUUAAAGUUUUUCUUUAAUGUUGCUGAGCUUUUAAAAUAGGUAAUCUAGCUGCUGCUUCUAGUCUAUUUUUACUAGGUUAAUAUAGCUACAAGUUUUUCCCAAUAUUUGUUUAUUCUAAUGUUUUAGAUGUCUCUUAAGUAGAGACCAUAAAGUUAGGGCUAAAAAAAAAAACCCGGUCUGACAACUUUUGUAUCAGCUUGAUACUAAUAUUUAAUGUCAUUAUAGAUAUAGUAAAAGAUAUACUAUUAUAAUAUGCUUUUUCUAAAAAAAACUAUUCUACCUGUUUUUGGUUCCUUACUCUUUGACUUUAAACACAUACACACACACCCCUCAGUCAAUCGUAUUCUCUAAUAUUUAGGAAUAUAAUCAUUUUUAAAUUAUUUUGUGUUUAUUGUAAGUAUUUGUAAAGAUGCAUCAUCACAUGAUCAAAUGGUAUGUUAUUUACAAUUAUUUACAAUUUUAUCCUACUUACAGGUAACAGAAAGACAUCAAAAUACAAGCAAUGUUUUCUCUACAUUUAUAUUCUAUUAUGUACUACACACACACCACACACACACACAGACACACACACA